rnacentral:tRNA from 1 species
GGUUAAGGAAGUGUUUUGUCUUGAAAACAAAAUGAAAGCAAGUAUAUUUGCUUAUUAAUCU